rnacentral:rRNA from 1 species
GUGCCAGCAGCCGCGGUAAUACGUAGGGGCCUAGCGUUGUCCGGAAUUAUUGGGCGUAAAGAGCUCGUAGGCGGUUCGGCAAGUCGGAUGUGAAAUCUCCACGCUUAACGUGGAGGGGCCAUUCGAAACUGCUGUGACUCGAGUCCGGUAGGGGAGUGUGGAAUUCCCGGUGUAGCGGUGAAAUGCGCAGAUAUCGGGAGGAACACCAGUAGCGAAGGCGGCACUCUGGGCCGGUACUGACGCUGAGGAGCGAAAGCGUGGGGAGCGAACAGGAUUAGAUACCCUGGUAGUCC